rnacentral:rRNA from 1 species
AGUCACUGACAUUAGAUACCCCCGUAGUCCAGGGUGUAAACGCUGCGGGCUUGGUGUUGGGGGUCCUUAGUGGGCGCCCAGUGCCGGAGAGAAGUUGUUAAGCCUGCUGCUUGGGAGUACGUCCGCAAGGAUGAAACUUAAAGGAAUUGGCGGGGGAGCACCGCAACGGGAGGAGCGUGCGGUUCAAUUGGAUUCAACGCCGGACAACUCACCAGGAGCGACGGUUACAUGAAGGCCAGGCUGAUGACCUUGCCUGAUUUUCCG